rnacentral:rRNA from 1 species
UACGAAGGGUGCAAGCGUUACUCGGAAUUACUGGGCGUAAAGCGUGCGUAGGUGGUUCGUUAAGUCUGAUGUGAAAGCCCUGGGCUCAACCUGGGAAUGGCAUUGGAAACUGGCGACCUAGAGUGCGGUAGAGGGUAGUGGAAUUCCCGGUGUAGUGGUGAAAUGCGUAGAUAUCGAGAGGAACACCAGUGGCGAAGGCGACUACCUGGCCUGUUCUUGACGCUGAGGCGCGAAAGCUAGGGGAGCAAACGGG